GCACAAAGUCCUCCAGGAUCCCAGCAAGGAUGCAAAUGCUGUGGCUGUGGGCUCCUCUCACGGGUCCUGGACCUUGGCCCUUUUGGCUUUCAGAGACAGGUGCUGCAACAGAAGAGAAGACACUACAGUUGGGGUUGAUUAGACAAAGAAACCAGACUGCAACAUAAUCCCCAUAUGAAUGACCACAUCAAAUCUUCCAUCUGGUCCACACCUUCCCAGUAAAUGCUGAGCUGUUCAUGAAACAGCCUGGAAGGAAAAAGCCCAAGUGGCCAAUGAAGAAGCCGACCUGAAUUCAGCCGCCAGCAACCCGAGGCCCAAGCCACAGCGGCUGAAGCUGGUUAUACAGGGCUCUGCGGAAGCUGUCAAGGAAAGGUUUUCUUUUUGAGACACGACUCUCCCUCUGCCCCAGCCUAGAGGACAGCACCGCAGCCAGACAACUGUGCUCAGGAGACUGGGCUCAGUCUGGAAGUGAUCUCAAAUCUCCAAGAAGUUCCUGACAAUAGUCAAGAAAAAUUAUCCUCUCUUUAGGACCAAGGAAGUCAAUUUACCAAGCGUCUCAACACACCAGGUACCCAUGCUCAAGGAUGGAGAUAAAGAUAUGGCCUCUGCCCACAUGGAGGGUACAAGCUUGCUGGGAAAACAGAAAGGACACCUCCUAGUGACACUUUUUUUUUUCCCCAGAAAUGUCACUUUCUACCAUUAUGAAUAACACGAAGCACAAUAUUCUAAUCAUAGGCAUCAGAUAAUAGGAUUGGAAAAUGAAGUAUUUUUUACAUUCUAAAGCAAAGCCAAAAGUGGCAGAAAUCCUUAAAUAUGCCUUUGAGGCAGAGUGUGUAAAUACAAGCUUUUAAUGAAAGACCUCCCUCCACUCAUCAACUGGGAUAUACCCGACAGCCCAUUACUAAUCAUCAAUAACCAAGAGAUCCCUAAGCCGUGCCAACUAACACACAGUGGGAGCCUCACAUGAGAAUGCCCACCCUGACUGCUCCGGAGCUGGUGUGCCCACUACUUAGCACAGCCACAUGGCCCCACAACAUCAAGCCGCAUCGCCCCCAGAGAGAACUGCAGGCCCUGAAAAAAUGGAGGGCGUGAACGAAGACACAGCGCACCACCAGGUAUGACGUGAGAGACAACAGAGCGAACAGGACCCGGGUAUAAAUGAGCUACAAGAACUCAGACUUUCCAUCUGCUUACACCUGAGGGAGGACUACUACAGGCUCUUGCAAAGGCCUCGUUAAAAGGGUUUUCCCUAAUAAUGAAGAUAUCUCUGAGAAUAAGGAAAAAUAAUUUAAAAGCCAGAAGGCAAAUCUCUGAAUAGGUCACCCCGUUCUUCCCCUGUCUAGCUGUAGGUCUUGCUGAAUUUCUCUGAAUUCUCUCUCUACACGUCACCUGAUAUAACCCCUACAGCUAAUGUUAGAUAUCCACGGCCUUAGCUUGGGGAUGGGAGAUGACGCCAUUGUGCCUGUGGGGCCAUUUUUGGUGCUUUUUUCUGGGAAGAAUGUUGAAUAUAAACAAAGCUGACUCUGAACCAUUUCAGGCCUCCACACAGGGUGAGAGCAACAUUCCGAAAAACAGUGGUGAUGGAAAGUCUCCAAAGGUGCCAGGAACAGAGCCGUGAAUGAUCUGUGGGCUGUGGAAGGUUGUGAGGUGCUGCACUGUGUUCAGUAAAGGAACAUCUACCAUACAUGGGCAACCCCUGUAGAUCUGGAGGUUCUUUGAGAAAUCAAUCUGCUUUGGACAAGUUAAUAGUAGAAGUGCCCUUGGACUAUACAGUUAAGAAACAACACAAGUUUCUCUGUGGUUUGGGGACCAUCGUUAUACAAUGAGGUUGUUGUAUUAGGUGAUUUCUUUUUUUUUUUUUUUUUUUUUUUUUUGGGGGGACAGUCUUGCUCUGUCGCCUAGGCUGGAGUGCAGUGGUGUGAUCUCGGCUCACUGCAGCCUCCACCUCCUAGGUUCAAGUGAUUCUCCUGCCUCAGCCUCCCAAGUAGCUGGGAUUACAGGCACAUGCCACCAUGCCCGGCUAAUUUUUGUAUUUUUAGUAGAGACGGGGUUUCACCAUGUUGGCCAGGCUGGUCUCGAACUCCUGUCCUCAUGUGUUCCACCCACCUCAGCCUCCCAAAGUGCUGGGAUUACAGGCGUGAGCCACCGUGCUCGGCCGCACUAGGUGAUUUCUAAAGGUCUGUCCCAGCCUCUCUAAAAAUACUCCGAUGACAGUGGAGGUGAUGAGCUUAAAAAUAAAAAAGCCAUUUGGAGAGAAGAGACAAAUGAAGAAAUUUGGGCUUGUUAUUUUCUUCAAAUUUCUGAAGCUAUUUGCUCUUUAACUUUGUGGGUUUGACCUAAAGAAACUGGAAUUUUGAGCUGAGAAGGGAAAAUGACUCAGCUUCUGGGCUAAUUCUGUUUCCAAGAGUCUAAAUGAAUCCAAGACAAUUUCAGGCUUAUCCUUCUCUGGCUGUCUGCAUCUUCUUACUUUAACAGGCAUUUUGACCACUGCACCAUUCCUCUUUCAACCUCUAGUUUACCUUUCUGAUCCCUUCUCUUGACUCCUGAAGUCUGCUGCUUUCCACCUGAGAGGUUUUGAAGGAAAAGCCUUUCUUUCACCAGGUUUAUUCUUAUCAACCUAAUUCAGCAAAGACAACACACACUGCAUUUUUAUCAGUCCCUGCAGGCUGAUCUGCUUUCCAGCUGAAAUAUCUGAAUUGGGAUGUGUGAAGAACUAUAAAGGUGUGAAAUGGUUUUUGUUUGAUUACAUAAAAAUUAAAUAUUAUAAAAUUUUGAGAGGGCAAUGUCCCUUGACUUUGCUGGAGCAGGAGAGAUGAGGAGAUCCUUCCAUUUACAGGGUCACAAAUUCAAAUGUCUCCAAGAGUGCAGCAGGCAAGUAAGCAAGUGACAUGGGACUACGGCACCUGGCGAUGUCACUAACAGCAGGCAGCCACCCCUAAGCCCCUGUGAUGCCACCACGUAGGAACGCAAGCCUAGUGUUGCCAGACUAAACAUGUCUUUCAAGAGAAACCAGAAAUUCAUGUUUAAUAUGAAAUCUCCCAAUUUUUCAAUGUGGCAAUCAAUUCAAAUAUCGCUUUGGAAACAUUGUGUAGUCCAAUUCUGGCCCUAAUGGAGAAAAAGGUUUCAGACUUUCUCUUCUGCUGUAAACAACAGUAAACUUGGGCAAAAUAUGUAAAGCAAGUAUUUUCAGGCCACAAACAGCACAGGGCUGUAACCCUUUUAAAAAAGGAGCUGGGCGUGGUGGCUCACACCUGUAAUCCCAACACUUUGGGAGACCAAGGCGGGCGGAUCACCAGAGGUCAGGAGUUCAAGACCAGCCUGGCCAAUAUGGCAAAACCCUGUCUCUACUAAAAAUACAAAAAUUAGCCGGGCAUGGUGGCGCACGCCUGUAAUCCCAGCUAUUAGAGAGGCUGAGGCAGGAGUAUCACUUGAACCUGGGAAGCAGAGGUUGCAGUGAGCUGAGAUUGUGCCACUGCAUUCCAGCCAGGAUGACAGGGCAAGACUCUGUCCCAAAAAUAAAUAAAUAAAAAUAAAAAACGAACUGGUGGCAUGGUGGCUCACACCUGUA
rnacentral:lncRNA from 1 species